UACGAAGGGGGCUAGCGUUGCUCGGAAUCACUGGGCGUAAAGGGUGCGUAGGCGGGUCUUUAAGUCAGGGUGAAAUCCUGGAGCUCAACUCCAGAACUGCCUUUGAUACUGAAGAUCUUGAGUUCGGGAGAGGUGAGUGGAACUGCGAGUGUAGAGGUGAAAUUCGUAGAUAUUCGCAAGAACACCAGUGGCGAAGGCGGCUCACUGGCCCGAUACUGACGCUGAGGCUACGAAAGCGUGGGGAGCGA
rnacentral:rRNA from 1 species